GAUUAUGGCUCAGGAUUAACGCUGGCGGCGUGCCUAAUACAUGCAAGUCGAAUGGUAGUAGCAAUACAAACCAUGGCGAACGGGUGAGUAACACGUAGGCAACCUGACUUUAAGACGAGGAUAACCGUUGGAAACGACGGAUAAUACUGGAUAGGACAUCACAAAGGGCAUCCUUAGAUGUUUAAAGGUUAUUAUGCCACUUAGAGAGGGGCCUGCGGCGCAUUAGCUAGUUGGUGAGAUAACAGCCCACCAAGGCGAUGAUGCGUAGCCGGACUGAGAGGUUGAACGGCCACAAUGGAACUGAGAACGGUCCAUACUCCUACGGGAGGCAGCAGUAGGGAAUUUUCGGCAAUGGGCGCAAGCCUGAACCCGAGCAACGCCGCGUGAACGAAGAAGUUAUUCGUAAUGUAAAGUUCUUUUAUCUGGGAAGAAAAAACAAAUUGACGGUACCAGAUGAAUAAGCUCCGGCUAACUACGUGCCAGCCGCUGC
rnacentral:rRNA from 1 species